rnacentral:misc_RNA from 1 species
AUCUUAUUCUCAAUCCGGAGCAGUGGAAGGGGUCUUCAUCUCUUCCCUACUUUUGGCUUGGACGAUGAAGGUUGCUGGCUGUUUGUGCAGCUCCUUUGAAAUGCAUUAGCAGGACGUUGACAAGAACCAGCUUACGGUUUGAUAUGCAUCUAGCUGUUUGCUGUGGAGUCAUUGUGUUCUGCUUUCUGGUCCUUGACAGGACUGCUCAGUUUUUUGAGCAAAACAUUUUGUA